rnacentral:tRNA from 1 species
GGGCGCUUAGCUCAGUUGGCAAGAGCGCUUCCCUUACAAGGAAGAAGUCGGGGGUUCGAGUCCCUCAGCGCCCACCA